rnacentral:sRNA from 1 species
ACUAUUUUCGUUUCGUUCACUUACUUUCUUCAAUCGAGACCUAAAGAUAGAGUGUAACAAACAAGGCACUUGUAAAAAAAAGAAGACGCUGCGACGGAGGAAAAGGCGACCGGUGAAAUAUAUGAGUAGACCGGAGAUGGUAUCUCUAAAAAAGGAACGUUUCCAGAGAGGACGAAGUAAAUAUCGAGAUAUCGAU